AUGGUGUAUUCCCGUGGUCGCGAUUUCUUGUUCUGUAACUUGUGCGGGACAAUGCUCGAGGUUUCCUCAACAGAAUACGCAAAAUGCCCCUUGUGCAAAACCAAACGAAACAUAAAAGAUGUUAAAGGAAUCAUGGGAAAUAAUGAUGAGGAUUCACCAUGGAAAUCUGUUUCAAAUGCGAUGGACAAAUUUAGUGGACAGUCGGAAGAAGAAAGUUUGAAUGUGUAA